AGAGUUUGAUCAUGGCUCAGGACGAACGCUGGCGGCGUGCUUAACACAUGCAAGUGGAGCGACGAACCAGGGCUUGCCCUGGGGCAGAGCCGCGAACGGGUGAGUAACACGUGGGUUACCUGCCUCGAUGACCGGGACAACCCGAGGAAACUCGGGCUAAUACCGGAUGUGCCCGCAAGGGGAAAGGAAGCUUCGGCCUCCGCAUCGAGAUGGGCCCGCGGCCCAUUAGCUUGUUGGUGAGGUAACGGCUCACCAAGGCUUCGAUGGGUAGCUGGUCUGAGAGGACGAUCAGCCACACUGGGACUGAGACACGGCCCAGACUCCUACGGGAGGCAGCAGUGGGGAAUCUUGCGCAAUGCGCGAAAGCGUGACGCAGCAACGCCGCGUGGGGGAAGAAGGCUUUCGGGUUGUAAACCCCUUUCAGUUGGGACGAAGCUUCGGCGGUGAAUAGUCGACCGGAGUGACGGUACCUUCACAAGAAGCACCGGCUAACUACGUGCCAGCAGCCGCGGUAAUACGUAGGGUGCAAGCGUUGUCCGGAAUUAUUGGGCGUAAAGAGCGUGUAGGCGGCCCCAUUAGUCCGCUGUGAAAGUCCAGGGCUCAACCCUGGAAUGCCGGUGGAUACUGUGGGGCUAGAGUCCGGAAGGGGCGAGUGGAAUUCCUGGUGUAGCGGUGAAAUGCGCAGAUAUCAGGAGGAACACCAAUGGCGAAGGCAGCUCGCUGGGACGUGACUGACGCUGAGACGCGAAAGCGUGGGGAGCAAACAGGAUUAGAUACCCUAGUAGUCC
rnacentral:rRNA from 1 species